rnacentral:rRNA from 1 species
GAUGAACGCUGGCGGCGUGCUUAACACAUGCAAGUCGAACGAUGAAGCUGGAGCUUGCUCUGGUGGAUUAGUGGCGAACGGGUGAGUAACACGUGAGCAACCUGCCCCUGACUCUGGGAUAACAGCCGGAAACGGCUGCUAAUACCGGAUAUGCACCAUGAACGCAUGUUCUGUGGUGGGAAAGAUUUUUCGGUUGGGGAUAGGCUCGCGGCCUAUCAGCUUGUUGGUGAGGUAAUGGCUCACCAAGGCGUCGACGGGUAGCCGGCCUGAGAGGGUGACCGGCCACACUGGGACUGAGACACGGCCCAGACUCCUACGGGAGGCAGCAGUGGGGAAUAUUGCACAAUGGGCGAAAGCCUGAUGCAGCAACGCCGCGUGAGGGAUGACGGCCUUCGGGUUGUAAACCUCUUUUAGCAGGGAAGAGGCGAGAGUGACGGUACCUGCAGAAAAAGCGCCGGCUAACUACGUG